AGUGGACGCUGGCGGUAGGCCUAACACAUGCAAGUCGAACGGCAGCACAGUAAGAGCUUGCUCUUACGGGUGGCGAGUGGCGGACGGGUGAGGAAUACAUCGGAAUCUACUUUUUCGUGGGGGAUAACGUAGGGAAACUUACGCUAAUACCGCAUACGACCUACUGGUGAAAGCAGGGGAUCUUCGGACCUUGCGCGAUUGAAUGAGCCGAUGUCGGAUUAGCUAGUUGGCGGGGUAAAGGCCCACCAAGGCGACGAUCCGUAGCUGGUCUGAGAGGAUGAUCAGCCACACUGGAACUGAGACACGGUCCAGACUCCUACGGGAGGCAGCAGUGGGGAAUAUUGGACAAUGGGCGCAAGCCUGAUCCAGCCAUACCGCGUGGGUGAAGAAGGCCUUCGGGUUGUAAAGCCCUUUUGUUGGGAAAGAAAAGCAGCAGGUUAAUACCCCGCUGUUCUGACGGUACCCAAAGAAUAAGCACCGGCUAACUUCGUG
rnacentral:rRNA from 1 species